AUGUCCAGUCGUCCAGUGCUUCCUGCAAGAGCUUCAGUGCUGGUGGCGGAGAUGUGGCAUCCGCAAACCCUGGGUGCGCGACUCAUGCCGUCGUCUCGCACACAUCCGCCGAGUCCAGCCGCCGCAGUGCCGCGUCGGAUUCCUGCACGGCAUUCAGUUCUGGGGGCGUGUACCUGCCGUCGGCGCGAGACUGCGACAAUACGCCGACCAAGAGGUCCUCGUGCGCCAGAUGAGAGAUCUGUAGUAGUUGAUCGUGUGCCGCCGCUUGAAGCUGCAAUUAGAGGAUUCGCUGAUAGGGGGACUGAGGUGGUCGUCAACCCGGUGCUUGGCACCAUUUUUGAUUCGCUGGCAGAGGCGUACGAAUUCUACAAUCUCUAUUCCUGGGUUGACAAAUACAAGCUUCACAACAACACUUUCCUCAUACAAAUUUUCGAGGUUCGUCACAAGUGGGCGAAGCCUUAUUUUAGUGGCAAGUUAUGUGCGAAGCAAACCAGUACGCAAAGAAGCGAGAGUGCAAACCAUUUGUUGAAAGGCUACAUCCCGCCUGCAUGCCCCAUGAACCUUUUUGUGAAGCAAUAUAGCAAAUUGCAGUUCGACUGA
rnacentral:rRNA from 1 species